CCAAAGUGCUGGGAUUACAGGCGUGAGCCACUGCACCCGGCCAGUCAUGGUCUCUUUUAAAGAUUGUGUUGCUUUCUGCCUCGAUACUAAUCGAUAUGUUGGAAGUUACCAAGAAGUUCCUGACAGAUGUAUUGCAAAUUCUGGUGAAGAAAGAAGAAUUGGCCCUUGAUAGGAUCAGUGUUUUACAAUAAUUUUGAAAGACGGUAGUGACAGAAGGAAGAAAACAUUAUGGCGGGAAUUCAGAUAAAGGACAAACCCCUGACUGCUACUGACUUAUUGAACUGGUAGUCAGGUCAACUUGGGAAGACAGCUGUGACCCUAAAUGUUAAGACGAAAGGAUUCCCUGGACACUGAGACUUUCUGCAGUGGAGGAAAUGACAGUGUACCUAGCUGACAUUCAGUUCCUGGGAUGAGAUAGCUCGGGGCGCAGUGCUCGCCAUUGCUGAAUAAGCAAUCACAACGUGCACUGGGUUUCUUUGAGAAUAUUUGAAUCACCAGACGUCACAGGAACCCACUCACUACCAUGUGAGGACAGCACCAAACCGUUCAUGAGGGAUCCGCCCAUGAUCCAAACAACCCCCACCGGCCCCCACCUCCAGCACUGGGGAUGGGUUCCACGUGAGAUUUGGGCAGGAACAAAUACCCAAACUGUGUCAACAUGGAAAUAAGUAACCUGGAAAAGGAGAACUGGAGCUGUUCAUGUACUGGGAAGGGAACCCUGUGGCCUCACUGGGCACAGCCUGGUCUUCACCCUGCUUCCUGUAGCUUCCUGGAUACUGAAGGUUUCUGACUGAAAGGUGCUCUUGACCGUGCAUUCAUAGAUACAUAACUGAAACGAAGUUGCACCAAACAGUGUUUACUCUUGUUACGUGAGAUACGGAUCCUGCGUCCUUUUUUCAGUUCUGUUGGUAACUCAAAAUUCCAUGAACCAUUUAGUGGAAACCGGCAUUUUGAAGAGAACACCACUAGGGGGCUCCAGAGUUCUAGCCAACUACAAAGUGAUGCUUGAUCAUUGCCAAAACAUGAAUAACCCCCAUGGUGAAACCCCAUUUCUACUAAAAAUGCAAAAAUUAGC